CGAGUGGCGGACGGGUGAGUAAUGUCUGGGAAACUGCCUGAUGGAGGGGGAUAACUACUGGAAACGGUAGCUAAUACCGCAUAACGUCGCAAGACCAAAGAGGGGGACCUUCGGGCCUCUUGCCGUCGGAUGUGCCCAGAUGGGAUUAGCUAGUAGGUGGGGUAACGGCUCACCUAGGCGACGAUCCCUAGCUGGUCUGAGAGGAUGACCAGCCACACUGGAACUGAGACACGGUCCAG
rnacentral:rRNA from 1 species